ACGGCUCAGUAACACGUUGAUAAUCUGCCCUUAGGUUCAGGAUACGGUCGGGAAACUGACUUUAACACUGGAUAGAGAAUUGAUACUGGAACGUUCUUUUCUUGAAAAGCAAUGCCUAAGGAUGAGUCAGUGGCUGAUUAGGUUGUUGGUGAGGUAAUGGCUCACCAAGCCAAAGAUCAGUAGGGGGGAUGAGAGUCCUAGCCCCGAGAAGGGCACUGAGAUACUGGCCCUAGCUCUAAGGAGUGCAGCAGGCGCGAGAACUUUACAAUGCGCGAAAGCGUGAUAAGGGUAUCCCAAGUGCUUUACUUAUGUAAGGCUUUUGCCAAGUGUAAGUAGCUUGGCGAAUAAGUGGUGGGCAAGACCGGUGCCAGCCGCCGCGGUAACACCGGCGCCACAAGUGGCGACCAUUUUUAUUGGGUCUAAAGCGUCCGUAGCAGGUUCUGUAAAUCUUUUGUGAAAUUGUUGCGCUUAACGUAACAGCGUGCAAGAGAGACUGCAAAACUAGGAACCGGGAGGGGACAGAGGUAUUUUGUGGGGAGCGGUAAAAUGCUAUAAUCCACGAAGGACCACCUGUGGCGCAGGCGUCUGUCUAGAACGGGUUCGACUGUGAGGGACGAAGGCUGAGGGAGCGAUCGGGAUUAGAUACCCCAGUAGUCUCAGCAGUAAACGCUGCGAGCUAUGUGUUGCAUGUUCUUUGGGAACAUGCAGUGCCUAAGCGAAGGUGUUAAGCUCGCCACCUGGGAAGUACGGCCGCAAGACUGAAACUUAAAGGAAUUGGCGGGGGAGCAC
rnacentral:rRNA from 1 species